GACGAACGCUGGCGGCGUGCCUAACACAUGCAAGUCGAACGGAAUUUCGGAAACCGUAGCCUCGUUGGCAGAUUAGUAAUCAGAGCGGCGACCCGGUGAGUAACGCGUGAUCAACCUGCCUUUGACAGGGGGAUAGCCUUGGGAAACCGGGAUUAAUACCGCACAACAUCGUAGAAACACAUGUUUCAACGGUCCCAGAUGUAUGGGUCAUAGCUGGGCGCGCGUCUGUUUAGCUCGUUGGUGAGAUAACACGCCACCAAGGCGACGAUCAGUAGCCGGUCUGAGAGGCUCAACGGCCACAGUGGAGCAGGGCCACAGUCGGAACUCCUCCGCGAGGCAGCAGUGUGGAAUAUUGCACAAUCGGGGAAGGGCUGAUGCAGCGGCGGCGGGUAAACGCUGAAAGUAUUCGUGUCGUAAAGUUCAGUCCUCUGGGAAGUUACUGACAGUACCAGAGAAGAAAGCGCCGGCUAACUACGUG
rnacentral:rRNA from 1 species